rnacentral:rRNA from 1 species
AACGUAGGAGACGACCGUUAUCCGGAGUUACUGGGCGUAAAGGGCGUGUAGGCGGUUUGUUAAGUCUGGCGUGAAAGCUCUCGGCUAAACCGGGAGAGGUCGUUGGAUACUGGCGAGCUCGAGGAUGGUAGAGGCGUGUGGAAUUCCGGGUGUAGUGGUGAAAUGCGCAGAUAUCAGGAGGAACACCGGUGGCGAAGGCGGUUCUCUGGGCCUGUACUGACGCUGAGGAACGAAAGCGUGGGUAGCGAACAGG